rnacentral:lncRNA from 1 species
CCCCGCCCCACGUGCAGGACUUCCGGCGGGCUGGCUGGAUUCUUGUGGAGACCUGAUCCCCGAUCGUGCUUACAAUGGGGAGCCCGUACGCGCCCACGGGGGGCUGAGCGCUCAGCUGUGAGCAGAGCGGCCGGGGCGGGCUCUGGCCAAACGACCUCCAAAAUCUUGGGCUGCACCCGGGGCCGUGUCUUAGGUAACAGAUCCGGCUCUGCCUGACUCGGGGGCGAUGGGACCAGACCCUUGCUCAAUCCCCAUGGCCAUCCUUACCCCUGCGCGGGAUCAGGAGCUGGAGAAGGCCCAGGAAGCUGCCCCAGCGAUCGGGGCACCCCCUGGGUCCUCACGGACCCCCACUGGAGGGCUAAAGAGACAAGGGGCAGCACCUACUCCACCCGUUGGCUCCACCACACCUUCGCCCCGUCCUGACAGCCUUCUCUGAAGACAGAACGGGUUGUAAAGGGAGAAACAGUCCCACGUUCCCCCAGUCCACACUCUCAGAUGAGUCCCCAAGAUUGAGCAACUUGCCUUUCAAAACAAGCCGGAAGGGGAGUGACUGCUGUAAAUAUACCAAUUCACACCAGUGAAGCUUAGACAUUUCUGGACUAAACACUUGACGGUCUGCCCUUGGUUUGUGUCCCCACGUGGCCGCUGUGCACCCAGGGGCCAGAGUCUGGAGGCCUGAGAAUAAGAUGAAGCAGACGUGGAAGGGCCCUCCCGCUACCUCCAGGCAAGCCAUAUCCGUGAGCGUCUUUGUCAUUCGGAGGUGUUGAAAGAUGUGACAGCCAGUCUGAUGGCAGUGUUCCGGGGGCAUGAGCGCUAAAAAGCUCCAGGAUACACACGCUCUGUUCAAAGACUGCCUUCCAGCCCGGCUCCGAGCUUCUCCCUAAUCAGCCGCUCGGUCCACGCACUGCAGUGUUUGAUGCGCGUGCCCCGAAGGACUUGCCCGUUUUUCGGUGGCGUCCUGGGAUUCGUGCUCGGGCGAAUGGCCAGAGCCCCAUGAUAAAACCAGCAGUCCCACACCUGCAGCCCUUCAGAAGGGCCUUGAAAAAGAGGCCCGGCUCUGAGAGAUGCCAGAACUAAAUUGGAGGGCAGAACUCCUGCCUAAAAUAAAGACCGUGGGAACGGCUUUCUUCUGUAGCCGGAGAAUCAAAGUGUUUUCAUUUAAAAUCGACCUAAGUUGGAAUGGCUACCUUUGAUCACCACCUCUGGGCUACAGAGCCUUGGCUCGGUGCCCUAGAAAGGAUGGCGUUCCGGGCAGAGGGGGA